CCUACGGGCGGCAGCAGUGGGGAAUAUUGCACAAUGGGGGAAACCCUGAUGCAGCGACGCCGCGUGAGUGAAGAAGUAUUUCGGUAUGUAAAGCUCUAUCAGCAGGGAAGAAAAUGACAGUACCUGACCAAGAAGCCCCGGCUAACUACGUGCCAGCAGCCGCGGUAAUACGUAGGGGGCAAGCGUUAUCCGGAUUUACUGGGUGUAAAGGGAGCGUAGACGGUUAUGUAAGUCUGGAGUGAAAUGCCGGGGCUUAACCCCGGAACUGCUUUGGAAACUGUGCAGCUAGAGUGCAGGAGAGGUAAGUGGAAUUCCUAGUGUAGCGGUGAAAUGCGUAGAUAGUAGGAGGAACACCAGUGGCGAAGGCGGCUUACUGGACUGUAACUGACGUUGAGGCUCGAAAGCGUGGGGAGCAAACAGGAUUAGAUACCCCAGUAGUC
rnacentral:rRNA from 1 species